rnacentral:rRNA from 1 species
GGGGAAUUUUCCGCAAUGGGCGAAAGCCUGACGGAGCAAGACCGCGUGCGGGAGGAAGGUCUAUUGAUUGUAAACCGCUUUUGAUAGGGAAGAAGAUCUGACGGUACCUAUCGAAUCAGCAUCGGCUAAUUCCGUGCCAGCAGCCGCGGUAAUACGGGGGAUGCAAGCGUUAUCCGGAAUUAUUGGGCGUAAAGCGUCCGUAGGUGGUUUUAAAAGUCUGUUGUCAAAUCGCGAGGCUUAACCUCGUACAGGCAGUGGAAACUAUAAGACUAGAGUGCGGUAGGGGUAGAGGGAAUUUCCAGUGUAGCGGUGAAAUGCGUAGAUAUUGGAAAGAACACCGGUGGCGAAGGCGCUCUACUGGGCCUGCACUGACACUGAGGGACGAAAGCUAGGGGAGCGAAAGGGAUUAGAUACCCCUGUAGUCCUAGCCGUAAACGAUGGAAACUAGGUGUUGCCCGUAUCGACCCGGGCAGUGCCGUAGCUAACGCGUUAAGUUUCCC